rnacentral:tRNA from 1 species
GCCGGUGUAGCUCAGCUGGUAGAGCAACGCAUUCGUAAUGCGUGGGUCGGCGGUUCAAGUCCGUCCACCGGCACCA